GACGAACCGUGCGAACGUUGUUCGGAAUCACUGGGCAUAAAGGGCGCGUAGGCGGCUUGUCAAGUCAGGGGUGAAAUCCGGCAGCUUAACUGUCGAAGUGCCUUUGAUACUGAUGAGCUAGAGGGAGAUAGGGGUAUACGGAACUUCCGGUGGAGCGGUGAAAUGCGUUGAUAUCGGAAGGAACGCCGGUGGCGAAAGCGGCGUACUGGAUCUCUUCUGACGCUGAGGCGCGAAAGCUAGGGGAGCAAACGGG
rnacentral:rRNA from 1 species